rnacentral:rRNA from 1 species
AUACGUAGGGAGCGAGCGUUGUCCGGAAUUACUGGGUGUAAAGGGAGCGUAGGCGGGAGUGCAAGUCAGAUGUGAAAUACAUGGGCUCAACCCAUGGGCUGCAUUUGAAACUGCAUUUCUUGAGUGAAGUAGAGGUAAGCGGAAUUCCUGGUGUAGCGGUGAAAUGCGUAGAUAUCAGGAGGAACACCGGUGGCGAAGGCGGCUUACUGGGCUUUUACUGACGCUGAGGCUCGAAAGCGUGGGGAGCAAACAGGAUUAGAUACCCUGGUGGUCCACGCUGUAAACGAUGAUUACUAGGUGUGGGGGGACUGACCCCUUCCGUGCCGCAGUUAACACAAUAAGUAAUCCACCUGGGGAGUACGGCCGCAAGGUUGAAACUCAAAUGAAUUGGCGGGG